rnacentral:rRNA from 1 species
UACGGAGGGUGCAAGCGUUAUCCGGAUUUACUGGGUUUAAAGGGUGCGUAGGUGGGUGAAUAAGUCAGCGGUGAAAUCUCCGGGCUUAACUCGGAAACUGCCAUUGAUACUAUUCGUCUUGAAUAUCCUGGAGGUGAGCGGAAUAUGUCAUGUAGCGGUGAAAUGCUUAGAUAUGACAUAGAACACCUAUUGCGAAAGGCAGCUCACUACGGGAUUAUUGACACUGAGGCACGAAAGCGUGGGGAUCAAACAGG